rnacentral:rRNA from 1 species
GCACAAAAAGAGUAAACGGUGGAUGCCUUGACACAAGAAGCCGAUGAAGGACGUUGCAGGGUGCGAAAAGUCUCGGUGAGGUCCCAAGCAACCUUUGACCCGGGAAUGUCCGAAUGGGGAAACCCAUCUAGAUGGAAGAUCUAGAUAUCAUAUGCUGAAUACAUAGGCAUAUGGAAGGUAAGUUGGCGAACUGAAACAUCUUAGUAGCCAGAGGAAAAGAAAAAAACAAACGCACGAACUUUUACUUGCUAGCAUCAUGAGUAGCAAGUAAAGGUCUCGUGUUUAAUUCCGUUAGUAGCGGCGAGCGAAAGCGGACAAGCUAAAACGUUAUUGACUCAAGCAGAUUGAACCAAUCUUUCGAGAAAGGGGAUUUCUGUGGAAGGCUUUGCGACCAUAUGUCUUUAGCGGGUUGUGAGGAUAGUAUUUUUUAAAAGCGCAAACUUUUAAAGAGAGUUUAAUUUAACUUCCCUAGUAGAAUCUGCUGGAAAGCAGAACCAGAGAAGGUGAUAGUCCUGUACGCGAAAGGGGUUAAAACUCUUUAUAUUAUCUCUCGAGUACCACGGAACUCGUGAAAUUCCGUGGGAAUCUAGCGCGACUAUGCGCUAAAGCUAAAUACUUCUUGUGAUCGAUAGUGAACUAGUACCGUGAGGGAAAGGUGAAAAGCACCCCGAGAGGGGGAUGAAAUAGUAUCUGAAACCGUUUACUUACAAAGAGCUGGAGCCCGCAUUUAUGUGGGUGACAGUAUUCCUAUUGAAGAAUGAGCCAACGAGUUUAUACAUACUGCAGCUUAAGCUCCUUUGGAGCGGAGGCACAGGGAAACCAAGUCAUAACCGGCGUUUUUUUGUAGUAUGUAUAAGACCCGAAGCCGAGUGAGCUAGCCAUGGGCAGGGUGAUAUCGCUGUAACAAGCGGAGGAAGCCCGAACCCACUCGUCGUAUAACGCGAGGGGAUGACCUGUGGUUAGAGGAGAAAUUCCAAUCGAACUCGGCAAUAGCUGGUUCUCCUCGAAAUAGUUUUAGGACUAGCACGCUGUAUACCCGCGGGGGUAGAGCACUGAAUGGGAUGAGGUGGCUUUUGCCUACUUAUCCUAACCAAACUCCGAAUACCGCGGUUUUUGAGCAGCGUAGUCAGACCAUGGGGGCGAAGCUCCAUUGGUCAAAAGGGAUACAGCCCAGAUCGUCAUCUAAGGUCCCUAAAUUAUGGUUAAGUGGUAAAGGUGGUGUUAGGACUUAUACAACUAGGAGGUUGGCUUAGAAGCAGCCAUCCUUUAAAGAAAGCGUAAUAGCUCACUAGUCCAGUCCUUUCGUGCCGAAAAUUCAACGGGGCUAAACCAUAUACCGAAGAUACGAACUAAUUGCUUUUUGCGAUUAGUGGUAGAGGAGCAUUCCAGCAGCACUGAAGCGUACACCGCGAGGUGGCGUGGAGCGGCUGGAAGCGAGAAUGUUGGCAUAAGUAGCAUAAAGGCAGGCGAAAACCCUGCCCGCCAGAAACUCAAGGUUUCCUGGGCAACGACAAUCGACCCAGGGUGAGGCGAUCCUAAGCCGAGGCCGAAAGGCGUAGGCGAUGGAAGAGACGGUUAAUAUUCCGUCCCUAGUAAUUAUUUGUUUUGGAGUGACGCAGUUUUAACUGCUUGAACGCGCUUUUGGAUUGGCGCGUUUUCAUUACGGUUCUUCGGGAUCAUGAUGUGAAAAGAAAAAGCCUUCGGGCCGAUUCAAUUCAAGUACGCGGGCUGCCCAGAAAAUCUUCAAAGCGUUAAAUAAUUACUACCCGUACCGCAAACCAACACAGGUGAGUAGGUCGAGAAGACCAAGGCGUACAAGAGAACCCUUGUUUAGGAACUCGGCAAAACAGCGGCCGUAAGUUUGCAAUAAGGCCCGCCCUCUUUUUGAGGGCCGCAGCUAAAGAUUUCAAGCGACUGUUUACCAAAAACAUAGGUCCCUGCUAAAGCGCAAGCUGACGUAUAGGGGCUGAUGCCUGGCCAGUGUCCGAACGUUAAGGGGAGGGGUGAUAAGCCCUGAUCCGAAGCGCGGAUGAACGCCAGCGGUAACUAUAACCGUUCUAAGGUGGAAUUGCUGCCUUAGUGAGGUGAAAACCCUCCUUUGAACUUCGUUUUUGCCAGCGAAGAUGUAGAAGAAAAUUUGGCUAUAUGCUGGAACAUCUGGAGCAUCUGAUGCUACUAUGGUAUAAUAUAUCCAUAGAUAAUAUGAAUUAUUAUGCCAAGUAACAAAGUAAUCAGUGCAGAUAAUCAGCAGGAAAGACUAAAAACCAUAUGGUGGAUUAUAGGAUUUACCGAUGGCGAAGGUUGUUUUUCAGUAAGUAUCAUCAAAAAUGCCACCACUAAGCUUGGAUGGCAGGUAUUUCCUGAAUUCGUAAUUUCUCAAGAAAAGAAAAGUUUGAAAAAUCUUGAGCAAAUCAAAAUGUUUUUCAGGUGUGGAAAUAUAUACAUUAACCGCAAUACCAGAAAAAACGACAACCAUCGCGAGCCAUUGUAUAGAUACUGCGUAAGGUCUAUUUUAGAUCUUAAAGAGAAAGUUAUCCCGUUUUUUACUGAACAUCAACUAAGAACCGCCAAACAAGAAGAUUUUAAGAAGUUUGCUAGAAUUAUAAAGUUGAUGGAUGAUAGAUAUCAUCUGAAUAAAGCAGGAAUAACAAAAAUAGCGCGCAUUAUUGAAACAAUGAACUCAAGAAAAGCAGCACGGUUUUUAGAAUCCUCAGAGACUACACGCCAAAUCCGCUAAAGCGGCGGAAAGAUAUAGUCCGAUCUGCAUGGCGACAUGCAGAGCACAGUAGAAAUGACUGUGCCCUCUCAUAGAGAGAGUAACAAAAAUAAGCGAAAUUCCUUGUCGGGUAAGUUCCGACCUGCACGAAUGGCAUAACGACUUGAAAACUGUCUCAACAAGGGACUUGGCGAAAUUGCGAGAUGAGUGAAGAUGCUCAUUACCCAUGGUUAGACGAAAAGACCCCGUGAAGCUUUACUAUAACUUGGUAUUGAUAUAUUGAUUUUUGUGUUUAGAAUAGGUGGGAGACUUUGAAGCAUCCGCGCAAGCGGGUGUGGAGUCGCCAGUGAAAUACCACCCUCAAGUGUUGAUAUAUCUAACUGUGCGCCGUUAGCCGGCCGCAGGACAGUACCUGGCGGGUAGUUUGACUGGGGCGGUGGCCUCCUAAAAGGUAACGGAGGCGUUUACAAAGGUUGACUAGCGCUGGAUGGAAAUCAGCGCAAUAGGGCAAACCCAUAAGUCAGCUUUACUGCAAGGGCGACAACCCGAGCAGUCGCGAAAGCGGAAGUUAGUGAUCCGACCGUACGAUAUAGGACGGCGGAAGCUCAACGGAUAAAAGUUACUCCGGGGAUACAACUGUGUCCCUGCGCAAUGGCAACAUCGCGCAAAGUACAUGGCUAAUAACGGUGAAACCCAUAUGGUGGCUUUCGAGGCGCCAUGCGGGCAAUACCGUGGGAAGUCAGGGGAGCUAAUUAAGAUUACUCUUAUGAAGCUUACAAAAAAACAAAAGGCGAUUAUUUACGGCGUUAUAUUCGGCGAUGGAUAUCUGCAGAAAACAGGAACUCAGAACGCGCGCUUGCGCGUUGAGCAUUCCAAAAAGCAGGAAGCGUACGCGCAAUGGCUGUAUGAAAAUCUUGAAAAUAUUUUUUCUGACAAGCCAAAGCGAAUAGACCGCGUCCAUCCAAAAAACAAGAAGACAUAUGAAUAUGUCCGAUUGCAAAGUAACGCGUCGCCUUGGUUCGGGAAACUGCGGCAGAAAUUUUACGACAACAGCAACAAAAAAGUGGUGCCGUCUGAAAUCGCGCUUUUUCUUGAAUCGCCAUUAUCAUUGGCAGUAUGGUACAUGGAUGAUGGAUAUUAUUACGCGCGGGAUAAAUCAGCGCAUUUCUAUCUUCCGAACUAUAACCAAGAAGGCAGGGCGCGCAUUAUCAGCGCUCUAAAAAAUAAUUUUGAUAUUAAUGCAACAGCGUAUUGCAGGCCAGAUAGGAACGCGUGUCACAUUACUAUCAAUGGAGCUGAUCUACAUCAGUUCAAAAAUAUUAUAAAACCAUAUCUUAUACCUAGUAUGAGAUAUAAACUCCCCUUGACCCCGUAACGACUGAGAGCGAGAAAUAUGAAAGUUUUAGAGCUCGAGAUAUAAGUUAUUUUGCUUAUAUAAUAUGCCGUGCCCCGCCGAAUCGGCGGGUGAAGAUAUAGUCUACGCCUGAUAGCAAUAUCAGGAUAUAAUACUCAAAAAAGUAUUGUGAACAGGCUGAUCUCCCCCAAGAGCUCACAUCGACGGGGAGGUUUGGCACCUCGAUGUCGGCUCAUCACAUCCUGGGGCUGAAGAAGGUCCCAAGGGUCCGGCUGUUCGCCGGUUAAAGUGGUACGCGAGCUGGGUUCAGAACGUCGUGAGACAGUAGAUUGUGCUGUCUAUAAAUUUGGCUAUAUGCUGGAAACUCUGGAGAGUCCGCGGAGACAAUUGUAGGACUCGCGCAUCUCACACUACUAUGCUAUACUUGUGUAUAUGAAUAGUGACAAUGUGUUGAGUGCAGACAACCAGCAGGAAAGACCAAAAAUUCAACCAUGGUAUGUUGCGGGAUUUGUUGACGGCGAAGGAACAUUUCAUAUUGCCAUCAAUAAAUCAAAAGAAAAUCGUUUCGGUUUACGAUUUAUUCCGGAAUUCCAUAUAAAUCAGAAUUCUCCAAGCAAAGAUGUCUUGGAAGAUAUUAUGUCUUUAUUUGGUUGCGGAUAUAUCAAGCAAAACCACAAAACAAGCAUCCGUGAUAAAACAUGGGUGUAUGUGGUGCGAAAUCGAAAUGAUCUGCUGAAUAUUAUUAUUCCAUUUUUUGACGCGCACCCUCUAAGAACACAGAAACAAAAAGAUUUUCUUCUGUUUAAAAGAGUGGCAAGCAUGAUGUCCGGAAACGAACAUCAUAAAAAAAAUGGCAUAAAAAAGAUAAUCAGCUUGGCUUAUAACAUGAACCAAGCAGGCAGAUACAGAAAAGUAUCAAAACAACAUAUCAUAGAAUUAUUGGAAUCCUCAGAGACUAUACGCCAGACGCGCUGCGAAUAGCUGCGUAAAGAUAUAGUCCGAACUGCAUGGCGACAUGCAGAGUGUAUUUCGCAAUACACCACCACAGAGCACGCGCGGAUUAUAGAUGUGGUUUGCAAAGUAACAGAAUGUCGGUCUCCUAUCUACCAUGGGCGUUGAAUUCUGCGGGAGCUCCCCUCUAGUACGAGAGGACCGAGGGGAACGCACCUCCUGUGUACCGGCUGUGUCACCAGAUGCAGUGCCGGGUAGCGGCGUGCGGCAGUGAUAAGCGCUGAAAGCAUCUAAGCGCGAAGCACUUCCCAAGAUAAGAAUUCGUUAUAGGGCGGUCGGAGAUGACGACCUUGAUAGGCUCUAGGUGUAAGCAUAGCAAUAUGUUCAGCCAAGGAGUACUAAUAGCCCGAGUGC